rnacentral:rRNA from 1 species
CAGCAGUCGCCACGGUAAUACGGAGGGUGCAAGCGUUAAUCGGAAUUACUGGGCGUAAAGCGCACGCAGGCGGUCUGACAAGUCAGAUGUGAAAUCCCCGGGCUUAACCUGGGAACUGCAUUUGAAACUGUCAGGCUGGAGUCUUGUAGAGGGGGGUGGAAUUCCAGGUGUAGCGGUGAAAUGCGUAGAGAUCUGGAGGAAUACCGGUGGCGAAGGCGGCCCCCUGGACAAAGACUGACGCUCAGGUGCGAAAGCGUGGGGAGCAAACAGGAUUAGAUACCCCUGUAGUCCCUGUCUCUUAUAC